CUUCUUAUAAUCACAUAAAGUUGUAGCCGAACAGGCUCAUGCCAAGUUGGUGAUCCAUAUACUGUUGGGAGGAGAAGAAGCGUCGGAGACUUUCAAUAUUUCUCUAUUUUCAACCGCAAGAAGACCGAGUGUUGGUCUACGCCAAGGGCCCGAGAAACAACUCCAGGGUCGUAGAUGUCUGCAAGAAUGCUUGCAAGAGGAGUUCUGGACCCUACAGAGCCUUUGGAUUAGAUGCACAUAAAGGCUUGCAAGAGCCACCAUCCCAAUGUCAACUCCUUGAAGGCCUCCGUGAAUCAGGUCUGGCCACACUAUUCAUGGAAUACGCGAAGAAGACUUGCAACGCCUUCAAAUCCAAGAUUUUAGGGACCAUUCUCUUGCAUUGAUGAGUUUUGAUUAAAAAUCUGGAACCUUA